UACAGAGGUCUCAAGCGUUGUUCGGAUUCAUUGGGCGUAAAGGGUGUGUAGGCGGGUCUGUAAGUCAGUGGUGAAAUCUCCGAGCUCAACUUGGAAACUGCCAUUGAUACUAUAGAUCUUGAAUUUUGUUGAGGUAGGCGGAAUAUGUCAUGUAGCGGUGAAAUGCAUAGAUAUGACAUAGAACACCGAUUGCGAAGGCAGCUUACUAAGCAAAUAUUGACGCUGAGGCACGAAAGCGUGGGGAUCAAACAGGA
rnacentral:rRNA from 1 species